CGCAGCGUAUCCGGCGCCGAUACUUCGGCUGACUGAUCCUCGGAAGUGGAAGAACCAGCGGUUUGCAACGAACGAGUUUGUUUGUGUAUUGUGGAACCAGCCGGCUCAGCUUUCGCUCAGCUGACCGUGUCAUUCCGCAAAUGUCUUUGUUUGCUUAGUUUGUUUAGUUAUGUGUUAUUUUGAAAGAUUUUGUCAACGGCUAAAUUAAAUAAUUAUAGUGGACAGGGCAGAACCUCGAAACCACUUUUACACUCUCACUCGAUCAUGUUCAGUUCAAAUAUAUCGUCAAGUUCAUUUCAAAUAAAUCACAAGUGAUGAGUCGGUGCGUUUAGAGAUCUGACCGUCUAAGAAUUGGAAGAACAGAAAGGUAGCCGGCGACAACAGUUUCGAGGGUUCACCUACAUUGAGAAACCACUUUUACACUCUCACUCGAUCAUGUUCAGUUCAAAUAUAUCGUCAAGUUCAUUUCAAAUAAAUCACAAGUGAUGA
rnacentral:misc_RNA from 1 species